GACGAACGCUGGCGGCGUGCUUAACACAUGCAAGUCGAACGAUGAAGCCUAGCUUGCUAGGUGGAUUAGUGGCGAACGGGUGAGUAAUACGUGAGUAACCUACCUUUAACUCUGGGAUAAGCCUGGGAAACUGGGUCUAAUACCGGAUACGACCAAUCUUCGCAUGGAGUGUUGGUGGAAAGCGUUAUGUAGUGGUUAUAGAUGGGCUCACGGCCUAUCAGCUUGUUGGUGAGGUAACGGCUCACCAAGGCGACGACGGGUAGCCGGCCUGAGAGGGUGACCGGCCACACUGGGACUGAGACACGGCCCAGACUCCUACGGGAGGCAGCAGUGGGGAAUAUUGCACAAUGGGCGCAAGCCUGAUGCAGCGACGCCGCGUGAGGGAUGACGGCCUUCGGGUUGUAAACCUCUGUUAGCAGGGAAGAAGAGAAAUUGACGGUACCUGCAGAGAAAGCGCCGGCUAACUACGUGCCAGCAGCCGCGGUAAUACGUAGGGCGCGAGCGUUGUCCGGAAUUAUUGGGCGUAAAGAGCUUGUAGGCGGUUUGUCGCGUCUGCUGUGAAAGGCCGGGGCUUAACCCCGUGUAUUGCAGUGGGUACGGGCAGACUAGAGUGCAGUAGGGGAGACUGGAACUCCUGGUGUAGCGGUGGAAUGCGCAGAUAUCAGGAAGAACACCGAUGGCGAAGGCAGGUCUCUGGGCUGUAACUGACGCUGAGAAGCGAAAGCAUGGGGAGCGAACAGG
rnacentral:rRNA from 1 species